UGUCGCCUGAACUGACGUCCAGGAGCUCGCGUGAGCUCUGGUGUCAUUUUCCGAUAUUUAAUGAAUGGACGGCAAAUGCCGACAUACCUGUUCGUUUUAUGCCUUGAGAUGUCAGAGGAUAGUGUAUUUUUUUCCAAAUCCAUAGCAAUUUCUUUAUUCAAACUAGCAAUCUCAUACUCGCAACCUAAAUACUUUAGUUACACUCAUACUGUAUUUAUUAUAUACUCUGUUGCAAAAGAUCUCCCUUUAGAUCUACACUUUAUAUGGCGAGGGGGAUUGCUUCCUCUAGUGAUUUUUCUGGGUUAUUGAUAGUUCAACUUAGCUAUAAUGGCCAGGAAUUAGGUGCCUGACGAAGUGAUGCCUGGCAUUUUCUGGGAUCCUCAAAGGGGGCAGCCCCUCCACUAAACUUACCAUCGUUAGGCUGAUCACCAAUAUGGUGAAUUUUUUUAUUUAUGAUUUUCAAAAUAAAACUGGAUCGUCAAAUAUGGAUUUAAAACGAUUAGAUAAAGGACGUUGAGAACGGAAACGGAAGUAUGAAUGAAAAUUGUGUGUAUGGAAUAUGAAAAGACAAGUGAAAGGAAAUGAACAGAAACUUGUGAAUGAAAUUGUAAAUAUAGAAAGGAGUAUGCAUUUGAAUGUAAAAAAUGAUAUUGUGGCUAUAUGGUCUGGAGUAAAAUAGAAUGAGCGAGUAAGAACUAAUGUGGGUGUGCUGAUGAAUGAUAAAACAAAAAGUGUAUGCUAGAAUACAAAUGUGUGAAUUGUGUAUUGAUGUUGGAGAAUAAUAUGGAUAAGGAUGAAAUUAGGAUUGCAGAAA
rnacentral:lncRNA from 1 species